rnacentral:rRNA from 1 species
GAUGAACGCUGGCGGCGUGCCUAAUACAUGCAAGUCGAGCAAACGGACGAGAAGCUUGCUUCUCUGAUGUUAUCGGCGGACGGGUGAGUAACACGUGGAUAACCUACCUAUAAGACUGGGAUAACUUCGGGAAACCGGAGCUAAUACCGGAUAAUAUUUUGAACCGCAUGGUUCAAAAGUGAAAGACGGUCUUGCUGUCACUUAUAGAUGGAUCCGCGCUGCAUUAGCUAGUUGGUGAGGUAACGGCUUACCAAGGCAACGAUGCAUAGCCGACCUGAGAGGGUGAUCGGCCACACUGGAACUGAGACACGGUCCAGACUCCUACGGGAGGCAGCAGUAGGGAAUCUUCCGCAAUGGGCGAAAGCCUGACGGAGCAACGCCGCGUGAGUGAUGAAGGUCUUCGGAUCGUAAAACUCUGUUAUUAGGGAAGAACAUAUGUGUAAGUAACUGUGCACAUCUUGACGGUACCUAAUCAGAAAGCCACGGCUAACUACGUG